ensembl:lncRNA
GGAAGUGAACCUGGGCUCCAGCCUAACCCGGUCCACCGGUUCUGAACAUGCUGUUGGAGGAAGACGGGGAAAUGGCAACACAACUGGCUGCCGUGGCUCCUAGACUGGAUGCCCGAGAAGGGGUGAUGAAAGGCUUCUGAAAGCCCUGACCCAUCGAGGCAUGGACUCUACUAGACUCCUGAAGGUGUGCUGUGGUAUCUGCACCAAGAUGUUUGCGACAGAUCCUUUAAGUCCUGCUGCAUUAUCCUGCUGGAAGAGGCCACAGCCAUCAGUGAGCACUGUUUCCAUGAAAGGGUGUACAUGAUUUGCAACAAUGCUUAGGCAGGUGGUACGUGUCAAAGUAACAUAGAUGGCAGGACCCAAGGUUUCUCAGAAUUGCCCAAAGCAUCACGCUGCCUCUGCCAACUGCCUUCUUCCUGCAGUGCAUCCUGAGGCCGGGUGUCCUCCAGUAAGCAACACACCAGAAAAAGAAGAAAGAAAAUGUGAUUCAUCAGACCAGAAUACCUUAUUUUAUUGCUCUGUGGUCCAGUCCUGAUGCUCGCAUGCACAUUGUUGGUCAUUUUUAGUGGUGAAAGGGGGCAGCAUGGGCACCCUGACUGGUCUGCAGCUAUGCAGCCCCCUACACAACAAACUGUGAUGCACAGUGUAUUCUGACACUUUUCUAAGGGCAACUAAACCUCCUGUGUGGCUUUGGAUUACAAAUGGAAAGAGUCCCAUAAUAUAACCACA